AAUAGUGGGACUCAGAACACCCACAUGGAGCUGCUGAUUGCUUGUGUAAUAAACAUUCUGUGGCGUCAUUCCAUGGCAGAUAUACAUGAUUGGGAUAUUCUCUGUGUCUGGUCCUUGAUCAAGGCACAAAUCAUUUUUCAAGGAAUUCUGCAGCACCCCAUAGGCGACAGUAUCUGAAUACAUUCUCAUUUCUGGAUACACACUGACAAGAUACCACCUGAAGGUCUUGCACUGGAGCUUCUUCCUCAGGGCCUUCCUCUCAGAAAUAUCACCAAUAUCAAUUCCAGAGUCCUCUUGGGGUAUGUUCCAUGCCAUAUAGACAUGGCUCUUAAAUUCAUCCAUCCAGACUUCAGCCACCCUCAGUGCGUUUCUCCGAACAUGAGCAGUUAGAUCUUCUGUGUAUGGUUUAUGUGCUCUUUCAAUGUGAGCAAUCCUGGAGCAAGGCAGAACCUCAACACUUCCACCACAUUGCCACACCCUGAUUCCAAGUUCCACAUUCUCUCCUCCAUAUACUUCCAUGCCUUCAUCUAGUAAGCCAAUCUCUUGGAAAUAUUCUCGGUCUACUAUGAAGCACCCAAUUAAUGCAGGACUUCUUAUUGGAGCAGUUGUGUUCUCCAGUUUCCACCAUGACUUAGGAGGGUUCAGGUAACGACACCAUAGCUCCCAGUCAAACCCUUGUGCUGAGAGGGGAUAUUCUUCUAUUUCAAAAUUAUCAUACUUAAUGUUAUCAAAUGAUGGAGAAAUGACCCUCUUUCUGUUUUCCUUUAUCCUAGAGAGCACUGGUUCAGCCCAUCCCACGUUAAAUUCCACAUGAGCAUCAAAGAGAGCAACUACUGGUGCUGUGGCUA
rnacentral:lncRNA from 1 species